AAAAAUCGAAGUGCUGUCGCAAAUAAAAUUGAAGUGUCAAACCAAUUCCGACGACACCAAAAAAUAUUUAAUGAUGUUCUCGCGAGAAAAACAAAUGGAGAAGAGGAAAUAGAAAUAAGUUAUGAUACGGUGAAACGCACUCUACAGCGAAAAAGACAACCCUUUCUUCCAAUUACUCCCGAGGACGUGCGCGAUGCUUUCAAUAAUGAAAAUAUCAUGAACCGUUUUGGCAUGACAAAAGGAAAUUUUCCGAAAGUUUUUUAAGAAAUUAUAUGCAUCAAGUUCAUUUGCCUAUUGUGUAUUUGCGUCUGACAAGGUCAUCACUUUGAUGCAAGCCAAUAUUGAGGAGCAGAAUAGGCAUUUUUAAUAGAUGCUACAUUUAAAGUUUGCCCUUUCGGGGACUUUAAGCAACUGCUUCUUAUUUAUGUUAAACACAUGCAAAAGAUAACACCGUUCCUAUUUGUUUUGAUGACUCGUAAAACAGAGCUCUGUUACCAACACCUAUUUACAUAUGUUGACUCAAACAUUUGCUGUCUUAAUGGUGCAUCAUUUAUAUCGGAUUAUGAGAAGGCGAUGCGCAACGCUUUGAAAAAUUUGCAUCCAAAUAUGAAUUUCUUUGCUUGCUGGUUCCAUUUUACCCAAGCAUGUAAAAGAAAUGCAAUCAAAACUAUUGGUUUGGAGAAAAUGCUUUCGUGCAAUAAACAUGCGUAUAUGCUGUUUAUGAAAUUUCUAUAUUUACCUCUUUUACCGGAAUGCAAGAUUGUUGAAGCAUUUAGUCUUCUUGAAGCUCAAGCCACAGCCUUAGAUAAGAAGAUGUUUUCGCCCUUUUUAAAAUAUUUUAGAAGCAGUGGCUUCAGAAAGAAGGACCUAAAAAUAUAUCGGUAUACAAACGAUCCACAAGAACCACGGGCUCAGUUGAUGCAUACAAUUUAAAUCUGGGCAAUAAAAUUCGAGCAAAGGGACACUUUUUCAAAUUCGUGGAAUGUAUAAUUGAUGCGGAGUAUGAAAAAGUCGAGAAUUCGCUCUUCUCUUUCAAAAUGGUGGGAUAGGUAAUUCAACACAACCAAAACCUAUACGUGAUCGCGCUCAAAAAUUAUGGAUGCAAUGGAUUUGUUUGACAAGGGAGAAAUUGACAUACAGGGUUUUUGACACGAACUGUUUCGCUAAAUGACCGUUUUAAAAACAGGACCUGUUCGACAGUGUGCAUAUGGACUCUAAUUUGUCGGGAAUGUCAUCUGAAAUGAAGGCAUCAACAUCAUCGCUUUCGUCGACUGACUCAAAAUCUAGUCAAAUAUCCGAUUCAUCUAUAUUUAAAAUGAAUCCCUGCAAUGUAUGUCUCAUCGAACCAAAAUCGGUUUUAUUACGCCCAUGUAAUCAUUUGAAUAUUUGCGCAGUAUGUUGGGAUCAAAUUCUGGCUCAUAAUCAAGAACAGAACGAUGAUCCUAACGAUCUUGACAGUGGUGAACCAAAAUGUCCAACGUGUCAACAAGUUGUCAAAGAAGCUAUCCGUAAUGUUUAUAUAUAUAAUU